UGAUCGAGCCCAAUAAGAUGGCCUUAUGGGGCUUAAAUUGUCUCCAUUUUACAGCCAUAGAAACUGGAGAUCAGAGCCAAAGUAACUUGCCCAGAAUCACAUGGCUGAUGGAGAGGAUACUUUUUUUAAAACAUUCAAAUACAAUGAACCCUGUCAAGCAGAUUCUGAAUCCACAGAAGUGGUUUAAAGGUUCUUCGGGGACAGAGAGGGCAGCUGUGAGCAGGCAACUCUGAAACUUCAGAGAUCCAAGAUGCCAUGUGUGGUAGUCCAGUGGAUCAUCAGUUAUGGGUGUAGAUCCCUAAUCUAAAGGCACUGAAACUUCUGGGAGAUGAGCAAUGGAUUUCAAAUGGCUGCAGAGAUUUGAAAGAAAAGAACAAAGCUCUUGGGACUGAGAAGAGGCCAGGCACCUGGGUUACUUUCUUGUCAUCCAUCUGGUCCACAGACCUCUUCUGGACAGAACCAAGCUCAAGUCCAACACAUGUGGCAAUACACAACCCCAGCCCAGCACUUAACUCUCUGCCAGCCUGAGAUUAGGCCUGAAGACAUCUGUCCCAGCCAGGAAAGGAGGAGUGCCAAAAAGCUUGAAUUCAGUCUGCCAUCCUGCGUUUGCUGGAACUUGCAACAUCAGUACCGGCAGAGGCAAUUUUGAUGCAGGAUGGCAAAUUCCUGUAGGCUUGGCUUCGUACAAGGCAGAACGGAAAUAUCUCCUUAAUGAAGGCUUUGGAUGAUGGAUUAUCAUCUGGUGGAGAUCAAACCAUUUCAGCUAUUCCCACACAUUUCAGCUAUUUCACAUCAUAAUCAAUGGAACCAAGCUAGCUCAGGGCCAAAUUAAAAAGUAGGCCAAAUUUGUCCUUGGCAUGCUCAAACCUGGGUGUUUCUACCCGCCUCCCUUCUUUCAACGUGCUGCAUCUUCCCUGUCUUCUCACUACCCACCACCCAGCAAGACCCAAACCCUCCCUGCUGCCUCUGGCUGUCCAAGGAUCCCUCUCAGUAAAUUGGUUAUCUGAAGCAAGGCCUGGCCCCACCCCAUUCAGGUAUUCAAGAGACCUUUAUUGAGUCUUAACUAUGGGAUAGACAAAUGCUCUGUACAAGAAGUAAACAUAUGAAAUACACUCUCCUAAGACUUGCUAUGAAGAGUGGUACAAUUCAUUCAAAUGUACUGAUAUGGGCAGUGCGGGACACUGAUUACGUGCUUCGACUUGGCGGGCCUGGGCCAGGGGAUCGGCCACCCCUGGGGAGGG